UCGUCGCCUAUAGAGAGCCCACCCCAUCCCGCCAACGUUUCGAACUCUUCCCCAUCCCUCAUUCUCUGUUGAGCUAUCUCGAUCGCCUCCUUCGAAAUGGCUUGCUCUCUUUUCCUUCCCUCUCUAUCUCAGUUUCGUCUUGCCUUUCUGAUCCGAUUUGGUUCUCUGCUUUGCUCAGCUAGUGAAGGAAACCGAGAUCACAGACAAUGAUUCGCUGCUCUUGGUGCCUAUGAUGCGUUGCAGAAGAAGUACCUGAAGACGCUUAUGUUCCGUAUUUGUGAGGAGACGUCAGGUCCGAUGAUCAACCAGUAUACUCGAGCUCUGCUGGCAAGAUGAUUCUGAUGAGACCUUUGGAUCAAACGCCUGAGGAGGGUAAGCGUGAUGGCGGUCACUCGUUUGUUUUACUUCAAAAUAAAAAGCUGAAGUGGCUGGUUUCUAUGUUUCGGCGCACCAUUUUGAUGAAGCCCCUUUACCAUGAUGAUGUCACGGUUACAUCAUCCAAGAUGCAAUAUUGAGGCUUCAUGAGGACAAUAAUUCCACGUGAAGCGGCAAUUCUUGUUGCAGAUAGGUGCGAUAGGCACUUGAAACAUGGCGGUCUUUCGGACGUGGCACGGACUCCAGUGGCACAUAUGGGACUACUCGAACACGAGGAAAAGAUAUAGAAAUCAUCUUGCAAUUUCGGGAUCCUAUGUCCGGCUGCGAAUCCGUCCGUCGCUUCUAACUCGAGCAGUCACAUCUGUAAGCUGCAUUGCAGCUUUUGUUUCAUGCUUCGCCAUGGUCGGUAGUCCAAGCAAGAUAUGCAAGAUCUACAUAAAUGAACCUGCGUGUGAAUUACCUUGAAGCACAACACUACAAUAAUUGUUGGGAAGGUCCACAACUAUUCAAUGACCACUCACGUAACUCACUGCAUGGGUUGAACUGGUGAAUGCGCAGGUAUCAAAAGUCCCUUGCUUUUCUUAAUUUAAAAUUUCUUCAGGAAGUACACCUUCAUUAUUCCAUGGCUUAAGAAAAACAUAAGAGGACCACAAGAACUUUCACUAAUCUUGUUCCUUCAUCAUUAGAGAUCGUGUAAUGUACUCUGGACCCUGUAAGUACAUUUCAACCCUACCAAAUCAUUGAUCUUUCUCUUUUUAUAAUCCGAUUGCCUUCAGUGUCGUGCGAAGUUUCCACUCGUAUGUCUGGGACUGACAAUCCACCCUAUCAUGAUCAGCGCAGGAUUUGUUUAGUGAAAGCUGGAUGCCCGUGGGUUUUGCUGUCUAUUACCAUCAUCAGAGAUGAACCAAGACAUUUUACAGUGGUCCAGUUGCUACGACUUGUAGUUUGGAAUACUCCAGGCAAAGAUUCUAGAUGUGCUUUUUCUCUCCUACUUCAUCCUGUCUCGAGUUUAGUUUCAACUGUGUCUGGGGUCUCAGGGUCCACAAGAUAGAAUGAGCUCCAAAUCAGCUGGGAAGAAUGAAGAAACAGCAAGGAAUAGGGGCCGAGUUAAAGACACCAACUCAAAAGUGCCAUCCAAGAAUGAAACCAUUGCCACCAGAUACUGCUCUUGGUAUUGUGGGCAGGUGGGUAGGUGGAUCCUGCCCUAAGCUUAUUUGGCCACAGGUGGGUCCUCCUCUCCAUUCAAUGGAGGCUUUGAUUGACAUUGUACCAUCCUGAUUCAGAAAUGGUGAGUGACAUCCAUCACAUGAAGUUUUCCAGCUAUGAACAAGAAGAAGAGCCUCUGCAAUUAGCAAGAGCCAAGCUCUCAUGUUGGUGGUUGGACCCAAGCUCUUUCUCCCAAGUUCCCAACCUUCCAACACUUGGUAAUCUGGUGAUGAGACUUUGAAACCUGAGCGCAGAAGAAGAAGAAGAAGGGUGUGGCGUGCAUGCCAGUUGCAGUUGUAAGCCAGGCCUCUUGGAAUUGACCAACAUCAUCCCAAGACAUGGACACCAGAAGGAAACGUGGCUGAUUGAACCGAAGAACAUGGAAAGUGAUUUAAUUGAAGAGGAGAGAGAGGAGUGGAUGCAUGCCAUGAAGAAUAAUAAACGAGGAAAAUAGAAACAUGAGGCUAAUCUCCUCCGCACCACCAUUUCUCCCCCUUCUUUUGUACUCUA